rnacentral:rRNA from 1 species
GAUGAACGCUAGCGGCAGCCUAAAUCAAGCAAAGUGGGGGGCCGGAACGGGGUGGCAAUACUGGGGGGGCAACGGGCAAACGGUGCGGGACACCUUCCACAACUUUCCGGAAGUGGGGGAUAGCCCCGAGGAAAUUGGAAUAAUACCCCGGAAAUUUUAUAUUUUGGCUCACCUUAUAAUUAUAGCUGAGGCGCUUUAAGAUGGGUGUGCGUAUGAUUGGGUAGGUGGUGGGGUAACGGCCCACCAAGCCAACGAUCAGUUGCUGAUGUGAGAGCAUGAUCAGCCACACGGGCACUGAGACACGGGCCCGACUCCUACGGGAGGCAGCAGUAAGGAAUAUUGGUCAAUGGACGCAAGUCUGAACCAGCCAUGCCGCGUGAAGGAUUAAGGUCCUCUGGAUUGUAAACUUCUUUUAUAGGGGGCGAAAAAGGGUCUUUCUAGAUCAACUGACGGUACCCUAUGAAUAAGCACCGGCUAACUCCGUGCCAGCCGCCGCCGUAAGAC